rnacentral:rRNA from 1 species
UACGAAGGGGGCAAGCGUUGUUCGGAAUUACUGGGCGUAAAGGGCGCGUAGGCGGUGCACUAAGUCAGGCGUGAAAGCCCUGGGCUCAACCCGGGAAUUGCGCUUGAUACUGGUGCGCUUGAAUCCAGGAGAGGUUGGUGGAAUUCCCAGCGUAGAGGUGAAAUUCGUAGAGAUUGGGAAGAACACCGGUGGCGAAGGCGGCCAACUGGACUGGUAUUGACGCUGAGGCGCGAAAGCGUGGGGAGCAAACAGG